GACGAACGCUGGCGGCGUGCUUAACACAUGCAAGUCGAACGGAAAGGCUCCAGCUUGCUGGAGUACUCGAGUGGCGAACGGGUGAGUAACACGUGGGUAAUCUGCCCUGCACUCUGGGAUAAGCCUGGGAAACUGGGUCUAAUACUGGAUAUGACCUUUCUCCUUAUGGGGUUUGGUGGAAAGUUUUUCGGUGUAGGAUGAGCCCGCGGCCUAUCAGCUUGUUGGUGGGGUGAUGGCCUACCAAGGCGACGACGGGUAGCCGGCCUGAGAGGGUGAUCGGCCACAUUGGGACUGAGAUACGGCCCAGACUCCUACGGGAGGCAGCAGUGGGGAAUAUUGCACAAUGGGCGGAAGCCUGAUGCAGCGACGCCGCGUGCGGGAUGACGGCCUUCGGGUUGUAAACCUCUUUCAGCUGGGACGAAGCGUAAGUGACGGUACCUGCAGAAGAAGCACCGGCUAACUAUGUG
rnacentral:rRNA from 1 species